rnacentral:rRNA from 1 species
UACAGAGGGGGCCAGCGUUAUUCGGAAUCACUGGGCUUAAAGGGUGUGUAGGCGGCUAGCUAAGUAGGGUGUGAAAGGCCUCGGCCUAACCGAGGCAUUGCGCUCUAAACUGACUGGCUUGAGUAAGAUAGGGGUGUGCGGAACUUCCAGUGGAGCGGUGAAAUGUGUUGAUAUUGGAAGGAACGCCGGUGGCGAAAGCGGCACACUGGGUCUUUACUGACGCUGAGACACGAAAGCCAGGGUAGCGAACGGG